UACGGAGGGUGCAAGCGUUAUCCGGAUUCACUGGGUUUAAAGGGUGCGUAGGUGGGUCUGUAAGUCCGUGGUGAAAUCUCCGAGCUUAACUCGGAAAUGGCAUUGGAAACUAUUCGACUAGAGAGUUGGAGGGGGGGACUGGAAUACUUGGUGUAGCAGUGAAAUGCGUAGAUAUCAAGUGGAACACCAGUGGCGAAGGCGAGUCCCUGGACAACUUCUGACACUGAGGCACGAAAGCUAGGGGAGCAAACAGG
rnacentral:rRNA from 1 species